AGGUGGAUGUUAGGGUCUUGACAGCAGGGGCACCAUCAUCUUGGACAAACACCACCUCUUUAAGUUCUAGCUCCCUUUCUAACCUCAUGCAUUUCAAGGAAAUCACUUCUCUUCUAACAACAAGCAGCAAGAAAGAGCAGACAGUAAAACACAGAUAAGACAGGUGCACUAAGAUAGGAAAGCUAAAAGAAGACUCAGGGGGUAUGCCUGCAGCUGCAGGAAGAUGUAUACAAAAACUCUCCCUCCCACAUAAGCAAGACAAAGAGACACAGAAACAUUCGAAGCCUGUGAUAAGGUCUCCUCCCAUCUCCUCACUUGAUGCCCUGCAAUUAUGAAGCUCUGUGCUGCAAACCCUCCUAUCUCUGUGUAUUGGUCUGUUACUGCACAAGAGACAUACAAACCUGUUGGUCUUCUAACAUUUUUAUUAUACUUAUUUAUAGGUGGCUUUCUAUGGCUAACUGCCCCUAAACCCUGAAAUGUUCCAACUAAUAAACAGGUAUUUCAAGAUUUCUGAUGUAAUAGAAGUGCAUUAAUUCCAGGAAUCAUUGUACUUGUGUAAAGUCUGUGCCUAUGGAGAAUGAGAGUGUUGUUGAUAGUAUUGAAUUAAGUAAAGUAGAAAUCAUUUUUAAUUAAAAAGUAUUAUUCUUAGCUAAUGUUUUUCUGUCUAAAUUCACCUAUUCCCCCCUUCACCCUUUGUCUGUGUAGACAGAGCCUAAAGUAAUCUAUGUAAAGAUCAUGCAUAUAAAAAAAAAGAGAUUAAUCCUGUCUCCUCCACAGAAUAUUGUUAAGUGCAUUAGGUGAAAGGCUAAUCACUGUUAUCAACAAUAAAGGAGGGAACUAAUUGGAAAGAUUUUAGAAAAGAUCAAUAAAAAUUAAUUAGAACAUCUAAAGUAUUUUUUUCAAAGCAAGUACAAAGGAGUUGAAAACAUAGCCCUUUGUUGAAUAAGAAAUAGUCUACUUGAAGAGGAGAAUAAUCAAGAUUCAAAAAGUGCUUGCUCUUUCUGAACAUAGACUUUGGGAGUAAAUCUUUUGUGCUCCUCAUGACCAUCACACACGCAAAUAAUAUUGGAAAGAAAGACUAAAUAUAAAUUAAUUUGCUGCUAUUUAUUGGAUACCUACUCUGUGCUGGUCACUGGGCUAAGGGUACUACAUAACUCACUGCAUCAAAUCUGUAUGAUGACUCAUUGGAAUGUAUACUAUUUUGACGACCUCCUCCCUCUUCCUGCUUUCUAAAAUAGCAAAAUCAACUUUAGGGAGGGUAGCCAAUUUGCCUAAGGUUAAAAGCCAGUAAGUAUUGUAUCUGGGGUUUGGACUUCGGAUGAUGUGUAGGAUGAUGUGAUUUUAGAGCCAGAACUAAGUCAGACAUCAUGCCCAUUUGGGCUGAAUACUUUUUAAAAAGCAUUAGAUUUGGCUGUAGAGUUCAGAGGCCACAGAGACCUAUUACAGGUGUUUAGCUUUCCCUGGCAGAUGCCUUAAGCAUGAACUUCAAGCUCCGCAGCAGCUGGACAAAGACAAGACAGGUUUUCUUCUCCUCUUAUUUCUAGUACAUCAAAUAAUCAUUUUUCAAAUCUAAUGCAAUGAAGCCUUGUAUUAGAAAUGCCUUUGAAUCUGUAUGUUUGGCUUCAAUGAAAAGAAAGAAUUGUUUAGUUCUUAAUGUUGUCACUGAAUUGGAAUUUAAAUGUCUUUGUUCUGUGAGCUUUUUGUAUUAAAUGCAGGAUGGCUUAGAUUAUGCAUUAUUUCACAACCUAGUUAUAUCACCUGAAGAUGAAUAAUAUUCUUUGGAAGGUUUUUCACAAAUGAGAACUUUUUAAAAAAACAUAGGACCAUGCAUACUGAAUAAAAUAAUUAAAAUAACAUAUUAAAAGGUCAUUUUCA
rnacentral:lncRNA from 1 species